CACUGGUGUAGCUGCUCCAUUCCAGGCUUACAGGAGAAGGAGGAGGAGGCACUUGCCACGCACGCUGGAGACUCGAGCCUGCCUUGGCUCCCCUUGCUGCUGUGGUUGGUGGUGGCAAGGAAGACGACAGUGCAGCCAGGAUGGCUUUUCUGGCUUUGCCUGCCCAGUUGCUCCGCGCGAAGAGGAGGGACUACCUGCUGCUUGCUGGAGGCUAGAGCCUGCGACACUGUGGCUCGCCUCGCUGUGGUUGGUGGCAGCGAUGGGGACUGCAGAGUGCCAAAGCGGUAGGAGAGCAGUGAUGGAGACUGCAGAGCGACAGAGCGGUAGGAGGGUGGCUGGCUGCUGUCAGGGCACAGUUGACUGAAUUAUUUCCCUAGUCUGUCUUGUCGCCACUCUUGAUGGCCACAUGAGAGGAGCUAAGAGUUUCGCUCUUGUUGCCCAGGCUGGAGUGCAGUGGCGUGAUCUUGGCUCACCGCAACCUCUGCCUCCCGGAUUCAAGCGAUUCUCCUGCCUCAGCCUCCCAAGUAGCUGGGAUUACAGGCAUGUGCCACCAUGCCUGGCUAAUUUUGUAUUUUUAGUAGAGAUGGGAUUUCUCCAUGUUGGUCAGGCUGGUCUCGAACCUCCGACAUCAGGUGAUCUGCUGACCGCAGCCUCCCAAAGUGCUGGGAUUACAGGUGUGAGCCACUGGUCUGGCCUAGGCAUUGAUCUUCUAAAGACAAAAUAAACCACAUUGUCUUCAAGCAUGUUGAGUUUGCUGUUUAUCACCACAGCCACAUCAACUUUCUGUUUCAUGAGUGUUUGCCUGGCAUAUCUGCCCAACAUCUCUGUGUGUUUAUACUUCUGUGUGUCUUCUAUAGUUUGUCCAAUCUUUAUUUCUAAACUCUCCUGUGAAGUCCAUUGAAAUGAAGUAUGAGUUUCUGGUACUAUAGAAAGUUGAGCAUUCCUUGGGUAGGUAUUGUUUAGGUACACUGGCCUUGUUCUGUCUGCAUCUUUUCUGGGUCACCCUUUGCUGAAAAGUGUCAGUCUUUGAGAGGAGGGGGGUGUCCUUUCCUGCUAGGGUGGCUUUGUGUAAGAUGGAGAUGCAGACACAGUGUUGUGUGACGGUGAGGGGUCACAGUGGGCUGCAGAGGUUUAAAGGCGGCCCACAGGCAGGUCCAACCAAGGUAGAGGUUACAGAAAGGACGAGCAGACGUGAGCAGGUCCCUGGGGCAUUAUAAAUACAGUGGCCCCUUCAUCUUCUCCCUUGGAAGACGAAUUUGUUCCAGGAUAGACCAUGUCUAUCCAAAGGCAGAACAGUCAGUAGUCCUAGGUGCCCCCAACUAGUCCUCAGUGCCCUCCGUGGGAGUCCAAUGAAAAGAGCCUGUGGGGACAGCGCUUGCCCAUCUACUCAUGUGGACGAGGACUGGGUGCUUUGUGAGGAGUGAAGAAGACAGUAUGGAGGAGUUCACGGAGUCCGAGGGACUGGACAUUAUCAUAUUGCAUGGCUCAGAGCAGCACGCAUGGACAUUCAGCAUCUGUAAGGGGACCAUGCAGCAGAGGCUGACAGUGGAGAGUGCAGUGCACAUAAAGACACGCCAGUGUUUGGUGAGAGGGACUUGAUCCAGAUCAGCAAAAGCGAAGUGACUGAUGUGCACAGCGGUGUGCAAAUGGCGACUAUGGGAUAGCAAUGGCCGAUGUCAGGCUGCUGGCAGAGAGCGCAAGACAUGAUGGAAACACCAUUGGCCACAAGUCUACAGAGGUCUUGGCGCUGACCUGGAUGCUUCCUUUGAAGCUGGUAAAGUUGUCCAUUUAUAACUAUCUGCACCCGGCCAAGCUGCUGGAUGCUCUUAUUACCUGCAGUUAUGUCCCCACUUCCACAGAUGCAAGAGAAGAUCUGUUUGCCUUCUGAGAAGACUUGAUAUACCUCCUGAGAGGCUAACGGACAUGCUCAGGCUCAGCCAGCUUGUGACACAAUAAACAUAUCCACAUUGGUGAGAGGACAAGAAGAGCCCAGUGGACACAGAGCUCUGUGGAGAAGGAUACCAAGGUCAGGUCAGGAUGGGGAGCCUUCCCAUGGUCAAUAAUGUGUCUGGGGCCACCUCCUGUGCUCAUGACAGUG
rnacentral:lncRNA from 1 species